AUCCUACUAUAUUCACAAUUAUCAUUUCCCCGCUUUACAGAAGAGGAAACUGAGGCACAGAGAUUAAACAGUGUAGGCAGGAUUCAAACUCAGGUGGUCUGGCUCUACUGUCCUUGCUCUUAACCUAGGCCCACCUACAGUUAUCCAGGUUUCUGUUUACUAAUCCUCAGCCAUCUUCCUCUGAUCAGAAUCAACAUAAAAAAUGGUAAAGUGGUCAGAACCACCCAAUCCAAAUGGUGAGAGGAAUCUGAAUGGCCAUUGCAAUUCUUUCCUUCCUUUCAAUUGAUUUCCAAAGACUCAGGAGAAAUUUUAUGUCAUCAGAAAACAGUUAGACAAUAUAGAAUUCCAUGGGGGGGAACCUCUCUAGGGGUAUACAAAGUAAUCUUUUAAAAUGCAAACUGUGUAGGCCGGGCGCGGUGGCUCACGCCUGUAAUCCCAGCACUUUGGGAGGCCGAGGUGGGCGGAUCACGAGGUCAGGAGAUCGAGACCAUCCUGGCUAACGCUGUGUAUUUUUUUAUACUGCAGAAGAUUAUACCUAGCACUUAGCCCAACACCUGACAUAUAUCAAGUACUCAAUUUGUUGAAAGACUGCAAUUUCUAAGCAUUUUAAUUUACUGUCAUGCUCAGAUACUGUAUUUCUGAGAAAAGAAAUCCAAAAAUAUAUUAAGUAACACUAUGAAUUGAGAACACUGGUGUCUCAACUUUUAAUCAUGCAUUCUUUUCCAUAAAAAUGAGAGCAGGUGCUCCCGAUUUGUGCGUGUCUGUGUGUGUUUUAAAACACUACAAAAUCCACAGAAAUUGAAAACACACAAAAAACAAUGAAAAAUAAUAAAUAUUAAGCCAAAAUAUAAGUUCUGGUUUUGUCUUUCUGCACCCCUAGCGUACGUCUUGAGCAUUUUCUAGAUGUCCACCCCCCGCCACCUUGGAAGACUAUGCAUGUAGUGAAUAUUUUCUAAUUUUAGAGCAUAGGCUCCAGGGUCAGGCUGCCUGCGUUCAAAUCCUGGCUCACCUUUUAACAUGGUGUGACCUGGGACAAAUCAUUCAUCUAUCAUGGUCCUAAGUUUCUGCAUUUGUGAAAUGGAGACAACAACAGUUUGUGCCUCACAGAUGGGUGGCGAUUAAAAUUAUGUAAUGUGUGAAAUGUGUUUAGCAUAAAACAGACGUUCAAGGAAUGCCGGAUACACCAGAACUACAAUCUAAUGCAAACUGCCUACUUUAUAAAUGGAGACAGGCUGGGCGUGAUGGCUCAC
rnacentral:lncRNA from 10 species